CACGUAGGGGCCAAGCGUUGUCCGGAUUUAUUGGGCGUAAAGAGCUCGUAGGCGGUUCGACAAGUCGGGUGGGAAAACUCCGGGCUCAACCCGGAGACGCCACCCGAUACUGUCGUGACUGGAGUCCGGUAGGGGAGUGGGGAAUUCCUGGUGUAGCGGUGAAAUGCGCAGAUACCAGGAGGAACACCGGUGGCGAAGGCGCCACUCUGGGCCGGUACUGACGCUGAGGAGCGAAAGCGUGGGUAGCAAACAGG
rnacentral:rRNA from 1 species